rnacentral:rRNA from 1 species
UAGGGAAUCUUCCACAAUGGGCGAAAGCCUGAUGGAGCAACGCCGCGUGUGUGAUGAAGGGUUUCGGCUCGUAAAACACUGUUGUAAGAGAAGAAUGACAUUGAGAGUAACUGUUCAAUGUGUGACGGUAUCUUACCAGAAAGGAACGGCUGAAUACGUGCCAG